rnacentral:rRNA from 1 species
AUUGAACGCUAGCGGCAGGCUUAACACAUGCAAGUCGAGCGGAUGAAGGUAGCUUGCUACCGGAUUCAGCGGCGGACGGGUGAGUAAUGCUUAGGAAUCUGCCUAUUAGUGGGGGACAACGUUCCGAAAGGAGCGCUAAUACCGCAUACGUCCUACGGGAGAAAGCAGGGGACCUUUGGGCCUUGCGCUAAUAGAUGAGCCUAAGUCGGAUUAGCUAGUUGGUAGGGUAAAGGCCUACCAAGGCGACGAUCUGUAGCGGGUCUGAGAGGAUGAUCCGCCACACUGGGACUGAGACACGGCCCAGACUCUUACGGGAGGCAGCAGUGGGGAAUAUUGGACAAUGGGGGGAACCCUGAUCCAGCCAUGCCGCGUGUGUGAAGAAGGCCUUUUGGUUGUAAAGCACUUUAAGCGAGGAGGAGGCUACCUAGAUUAAUACUUUAGGAUAGUGGACGUUACUCGCAGAAUAAGCACCGGCUAACUCUGUGCCAGCAGCCGCCGUAA